CGAAUUGGCCUCCAAUUGCUCCAAAUCUAACCAAAAUCAGAUUCAUACCAUCAAAAUAUGCUAAAGGAACAAAGCCCACUCGAAAAUAACCAAGUUACAUAAAAAAUGCCAAAAUUGGCCAAACCCGACCCCCUGGCCCUCGUCUCGAAUUCCGACAAAAAUCACAAAACUAUAAUCCUUACAUCAAAAUCUGACCACAAACGACCUCUCAAAUCCCUAAAUCAAAGUUUCCAAUUUCAAGCCCUAAUUCCCCAAUUUUAGGCUAUAAAUCCCAUAAAUUUUAUGUCUAAUUAGGUAGAAAUCACCAUAGAAUCAAGUAUUGAGUUCAAAAAUCUUACCUCCAAGUGUUUCCCUUCGAUUCCCUCUUUAAUCCCUCUCAAAAAGCUUCAAAAUCGCUCAACAAUGGUGGAAAAUAGACCAAAAAUCGUGAAGGCAACUAUUUAAACAUUCUGCCCAGAUGACAUUUCCUUCUUCGCGAACGCGGUCAAAGCCUCGCGUUCGCGAAGCACAAAAAUCCACUGACCAAUUAUUCCUCCUUCGCGAACGCGACAUACUCCACGCGAACGUGAUGCUUUAACCGUCCAAGCCUUCGCAAACGCGACUAUACCUAUACGAACGCUUCCUUCACAUAUAUACUUACCCAUUCACCCUGGGCCCUGAUAAUCUGUCAAAUCUUCUCCCUUGGAAAUCGACCCGGUUAUUCUUGACUUCUGCGCCCGAUAUUAGGUGACCCUCAGUCACAUCUACCCAUCCUUUUGGAGGAUAGUGUUAAUGCUUAGGCAUUUCACCGAAGGGGUUAAAGGUAAAGUUUUCACCCUUGACCAUUUGAUCAGACCGUACCGCCCUCGGCUGUAUCGAGGCUUAAUCAAGCUCCGCCACCGAUCCAAAAAGUCUUUUUUCACGAGCGUUCCUGGGGUCCCAACUGCUCCAAUUACUUUACGCAAACGCAGGACCUACUUCGCGUUCGCGAUACACACUCAGCCUCACCCUUCGCGAACGCGGAACCAACAUCGCGAAUGCGAAGGGCAAUUCUCUUGCCUCACUUCACAUCCCUUCACAAACGCGAGAUCCCUCUCGCGAACGCGAAGAACAAAACUCUGCAACAGAAACAGCAGAAAAUCUACAACUUCCCAAAACAAGAAUUUGAUCCAUUAACCACCCGAAACUCACCCGAGGCUCUCGGGACCUCAACCAAACAUGCCAAUACAUCCCAUAACAACAUUCAAACUUAGUCGAUCCCUCUAAUCACUCAAAACAACACUAAAAUAUCAAAUCACCCUUGGAUUCAAACCUAAGAAUUCCAAAACUUCAAAAUUCCGCUUUCGAUCAAAAAGUCUAUCAAACCUUGUCCGAAUGACCUGAAAUUUUGCACGCACAUCCCAAAUGACACAACAGACCUACUCUAAUUUCUGGAAUUCCAUUCCGAACCCUAUAUCAAAAUUUCCACUACCAACCGGAAAACGCCAAAAUUUCAAUUUCGUCAAUUCAAGCCUAAAUCUACUCCGGACCUCCAAAAUACAUUUCGAUCACGCUCCUAAGUCCCAAAUCACCUAACAAAGCUACCCGAACCAUCGGAAUUCACAACCAAGACCUUUUUCACAUAAGUCAACAUCCGGUUAACUUUUCCAACUUAAGCUUACUUAAAAGAGACUAAGUGUCUCAUUCCUUUCCAAAACUACUCUGAACCCAAACCAACCAACCCAAUAACACAUAAUAUAGUUGAAUAAGACAUAACGAAGUAGAAAUGGGGAAAACGGAGCGGUAAUUUAUGAAAUGACCGGCCGGGUCGUUACAGAAACUGGGAGCUAUUUACCAAAAGACGUGAAAUAAAGGAACGUACAAAAAUAGAUAACUUUCUAGACUUUAUAAAAUAGUUGAAGCGCAUUAAUCUACCAGGCUUCUUCUCUAUGACUCAACAAUAACACAUUGCUCCAGUUGAGCCCCUGCCACAAAUGCUUUCUUCAAAACAACCCUAAAGAUUUUAAAACAACAAACCAAGCUAGCUCUUAUUAGUUUCAACAACCAACCUCAAAUAUAUGGAGAAUCAUUGACCGUUACAAGACUACUUGUCUCAGAAUGGCAAAGCACAAUAUAGUUUUAAAUGGUAUAUAAACACAGAUAUUAAAAAGGAAAUAAAAAGUAUUAUUUUCUUUCAAGGUGUUCAUUAGUAAUGAGAAGAUAUUAUCACACUACUAUUCGACAAUCUAUUUAUAUUUAAAGAAAUUGUCAGCACAGAAAAUAAUAGGUGAAAGUCACAAAGGAUUUCAAUCAGAUUGAUUUUUCCCCCUACAAUUAGAGUUGAGCACAAGUAAUGUUCCUAAAAAUAACUGAAUGCUGGAGAAGAAUUGAUGAAGACAGCAGCUGACCUGAUAACACAAGGAAAUUUGGAUAAUUUUUGAGUUAGGGUGUUGAUGGAUAGAAUUGGAAAAUUUAUGGGGGUUCUUUCUGGAUAAAUUAUGAAUUGAAGCUGCAAGAUUCCACACCAAUACAAGAAGAAAGAAAUUAUGAUCUACAAAUAGAAUACAACAUGCAAUAACAAGUUUCUGGAAUCAUAAUAUAAAAUUCUUAAAUUAAAAUAAGAGAAAACAAGAAAUAUUAACUAAAGGGUGAAGAGAGAUGUUACAAUGGAAGAGGGUCGGGCGGAAUUUCUAAGAGAGGAGACGUCAAGCAGAUCUCUGUCAACAGAAACUCCUCCAUUUGCAAAGACAUAAAAACGUCACCACAGAUCUGCAAUGCGCAUAGAAAGUAAUCAGGGCAAUCAAGAACUGAAGAAGAAACAAUAAUGGAUGAAGGAAGACAACAAGAACAAAGAACUGGGCGAGAUGAAGCAAGAGAAUUGAGUCGGGGAGAGCGAAAAAAAAGAUGGAAUUGUGU
rnacentral:lncRNA from 1 species